UACGUAGGUGGCAAGCGUUGUCCGGAUUUACUGGGCGUAAAGAGCGCGCAGGCGGUCGGAUUAGUCGCGUGUGAAAGCCCCCGGCUCAACUGGGGAGGGUCACGCGAUACUGUUCGACUCGAAGGCAGGAGAGGGAAGUGGAAUUCCCGGUGUAGUGGUGAAAUGCGUAGAUAUCGGGAGGAACACCAGUGGCGAAGGCGGCUGCCUGGGCCAGUUCUGACGCUGAGGCGCGAAAGCGUGGGGAGCAAACAGG
rnacentral:rRNA from 1 species